rnacentral:lncRNA from 1 species
AGCUCUCAGAGCGCGAGCCCAUCGCGCGUGCGCCCCAGUUCCCAGCGCGGAGCAGACCUGAGAGCGGGCUUGCAGAAAACUCCUACAAAUCAACAAGAAAAAGCCAGAUGUCCAGUAGAAAAUUGAGCAACAGACCUGACCAGUCCUGCAUGUGACUAUGCGGUUUUCCUAUACCAUUUAUUGAAGGGACUAUCCUUUCUCCAUUGAGUAUCUUGGCUCAUUGUCAAAUAUUAGUUGACUGAAUAUGUGUGGAUUUAUUUCUGGGCCUUUGGCUUGUUUUAUGCCAGUACCAUGCUGUUUUUAUUACUGUAACUUUGUAAUAACGUUCAAAAUAAGGAAGUAUAAUAAUGCCUCUAGUUUUGUUCUUUUUUUUUUAAGAUUACUUUGGCUAUUCAGGGUCUUUUUUGGUUCCAUAUGAAUUUUAGGAUUGUGUCUUCUAUUUCUGUGAAAAGUGUCAUUGGGAUUUUGAUAGCGAUGGCAUCCAAUCUGAGAUGUCUUUGGAUAAUCGUACAUCCACUUGAAAUAUUAUUUGUUGUCAUCUACUCCCAUUAAAUAUGUAUAUCCUAUAUCACCAAAUUCUUGUGUAACAAAAUGUAUGUCAAAAAUUAUCAUAAUUGCCCUUGUAAUAAUAAAAAAAACCCAGACAAAACCAAAGUGUUCACUGAAAGUAAAAUAGAUAAAUUUGGUAUGUUCAUAUAAUAAAAUUCUACAUGUCUAUGAAAAUGAACUACUAUUGCACAUAGUAAAAUAUAUACAUCUUACAAAUAUAAUGUUAUUAUAAGAAUCCAGUCCUGAAAGGAUCCAUUGUAUUAUUUCAUGUAUAUAAAGUUUAAAAGUAGGCAGUAUGAAUUUAUGGUGUCAGCAUAGUACUUAUCACGGGGGAGGAGGAAAGGACAAUGAUUAGGAGUGGCCUUGAGGGGCUUUUGGGGUGCUGCUACUAUUCUCUUUUUGGCCUUGGGCUGGCUACAUGAAUGUGUUCUCUUCCCGACAUUUCAUCAAGCUUAAUAUUUAUGGUCUUUUCUGUAUGUUACAUUUCAGUAAAAAUGUGAAAAAUAAAAAAGCAGCACCAUCAGAAAAAACAAAAAAUGUAAGGCAAGGACCC